UUUUAGAGACAAUGUGCGGUCGGAAUUUCCUAAAAUGUUUACAGAUGUUCUCGCUCUGGGCUCUAGGCUUUGUUUUGCUGAUUUUUGGCAUCACCACUGUCUGUGAGCCUGCAGGCUCCAAUAAUAAUUGUCAUCGAAAAGACUGUAAUGGAACAUGGUAUGACAUCAAAGAGGCUACAUGCUGUGAAAACAGACUUCACCCUGGUGCAAGCCUGUCUUGUUGUGGAAAUGAGCCUUACAGUCCUGGAACAGCCACUUGUUGUAAACAGCAACACAGACACACUGUCACAGCCAGAGUUACACAGGGUCUUAGUGAAAAGGUAUCCAGCUGCUGUGAACUGAAGGCUUACAAUCCAGUGAAUGAAAUAUGUUGCCAGUCAGCCAUCAUAGCAAAACCUUCACCAAUGGCUGAGUGUUGUGGUAAAGAUGUUUUUGAUAGGGUCAAGCAGUUGUGUUGUGGUUCACCUGAUAUUAAGAUGAUUCUGAUGAGAAAUUCCAGUCACCAUCAGUGCUGUGGUCACAGCCAGUAUGACACCGAGACUCAGUGCUGUUGUUCAAAUGAGAAGAGGCUGGAAGUAUACCCAAAGAUUUCAUCCUGCUGUCUCAGGGACUCCACUUCAGCUCAUUUAUGUGGAAAUGAGACCUAUGACAAAAACACACAACUAUGCUGUCAGUCAACUGUUAUUGACAAACAUUCACCGAAUCACAGAUGCUGUGACAAAAGGGCGUAUGAUGGGGAAAAGGAGCUGUGUUGUGGUCCAAUUAGUGAUAAGAAGAUCCUGACAAGGAACUCCCCAGGUCACAUGUGCUGUCAUCAAGGCCAGUUCAACAGCAAGACUGAGUGUUGCUGCUGGAAGGAUGAUGGUGCUGAGAUACAACCGAGGAAUUCAUCUUGCUGUCAAAUCAAGGCAACACCCACUGUGUAUAAUCCACACAUACAAGUCUGCUGUGAUGGAUGUAUCUCUGCAUGGAAGCCUUGGAUGGAUCAGUGCUGUGGAGAGACGCCGUACGGCUCGGGACAAUGUGGAGUUCUCUGUUGUAAUAACACCUUGUACGAGGACAGAGUCGAUGGACAGGAAUGUUCAGAGAUGGGUAUUCCUUACAACCCGGCCAAAGGGACUAUAUGUUGUUCUCAGUUUCACGGCAGCCCAGGACAACACUGCUGUGGGACAGAAAUUUACCGGCCUGAUGUUGAGAUUUGCUGCAAUGGACACAGACACCCCAAAUCAGAAAACAUUCACUGCUGUGGGGUCAAAGCCUACAACAUUAAAGAUCCACAGAUGAAGUGCUGUGCAGGAACACUGUACACGCUGACAUCAUUACAUAAGCAUGGAGGGGACCUGCAGUGCUGCGGAUCCACUCUGCAAGAGCCACAGGACAUUUGCUGCUCAAGUGAGGAGGAAGAGGUGAUCUACUCUGCCAAGACAGGGUUUAGAUGCUGUGGUCACCUCUAUUACAACACCACCCUGUGGUCAUGCUGUGCUGGGAGGCUGAGAUCAAUCCAUGAACCAGGACAGGGUCAAAGAAAGAUGAUUAAUGAAUCCAGAGUCCUAUCUGUGAAUAACCUGAACAAAACAGAUCUUUGCCAAAAAAUGCACAUUGGGACUGUGGAAAGUGUGUCUCAGCAGAGCGUUGUGUUUGGGAAUGUGCUGACGGUUCAUGGUAUGGAGGCCGAAGCUCUGCCUUUUCCUUACGUCCUGGAAACAGAUGAUCGCUGCAGCUUCCCUAAACUGAUUCUUGGGAAGACCUACUUCUUUAACAAAGUUAAUGUUUUCACUGAUUUCAAUCAUGACUCUGUUCUUCAGUCACUCCAUUUCAUUAUUUCCAAAUGUUCACCUUAGGUCACCAUUGGCUGAUUUAUACAUGGGCAGUCCUGAUGAGUUACUCUAUUCUCUGACAAAGUACUAAUUUUGUAUUUUUAUUUUGUGCUUGCAAUAUUGGGUUUUUCACUCUCUUGAAUGUAUUACAUAUUACUGCAUUGUUAUACAUUGGUCUGUUAGCAAUAGUGAUGCUAUCCUAAAAAGACAUACCUAAUCUGUCCUUUGUUUUUUGUGUAUUAUUAGAGCCAUUAGUAAUGGUUGAUUCUCACAAUUAAAUCAAAAAACUCCUUAUGUACCGUCUGUAACCGUAAUGUCUUUACCUGAUUUAGAAACAGUAAUGCAUUACAGAAAAAUGCCAUUACAGAAUGCAUUAUUUUUAAAUUGUUACACUUAACACUGCUUACUUAUGCAUUUAAAAUAAUUACAUACAUAAUAUUACUAAAACUGCAGCAUCAGUUACAUGUGACUCUGCACAUAACUAGUCAAACCCUGCCAUUCCUCCACUCUCAGAAAAUCUGUUCACUGAGAUGACUAAGUAAAAUUUUUGAAAUCACUGAGAACAUUGUAGCUUUUUACUGAAAUAUUUACUGAGUUUCACAUUGUACUCACUCACAUAACUUAAGACAGUUAUUACUACUGUGACACAGCCCAGUUGUAUUUAAGUAUACAGUGUAUGCAAUAAUACGAUGAAACUAUUAACUUCAGAAGUCUAAAAAAAAAAAAAAAACUUAAGUUUCUUCUUGAUUCUUGUUAGCAUGGAAUCAACAGUUGCUGACUUCUUACAGCACUAUAAAAUGUAGCUUCAUAAAAUAUUAGCAUAUGGCUCAUUUUUUAUUUUUAAGCUAUUUUCUUGCACUGAAACAAAUUAUAAUACAUAAUUUAAAAAAUGUUUGACCUUGACCCACAUAAUCAAAUGUAUGCAUAUACUGUAAAUGGCAUAAUUUAUUUUGAUAGCUAAAGCUAGUGAAUGUUAACCACUGAGUUGCCAAUGCCAUGAAUGCUACUAUGCUGUACCACCCAGAGGUCCCACUGAAAAGACCAUGAAAGUAUUUUCUUUUCAUAAACAGCUGUUUUUAUUCUUACUUUUUCUAUUGGAAUGUAAUUUCUAUAAGGCCUCAGUGCACAGACACAGUAGUGGUGAUGGCAGAUGUUUGGGCUUUGUAGUACUGUCUCGAUACUGCAUGUUUGACUUUGCAUGUUUGUGUUUAUUUUGUGGCCUAAUGUUCUUAUGAUUUAAGCUUUAAAUAAAUAACAUAUUUUGCUUUAUCCUAUUGAGUUGAUGAUCUUUUUUUUUUUUUUUUGCCUGUCCCAUUUGGUUCUUUAGCCAUCAGAAUUGUUGUCUGAAGACCAACAAGGAUACCCAAUGGAUUUACUUUGCCAAAUGGAUCUUCGUGGCAUUGCCGUAUUGGUCCAUUUGGUCGAUCUUUGUUUUUAUUAUUUAUUAUAUUUUAUUUUCAGAUGUUACAGAUGGGACAGACAUGAGUGAGGGAUAGGAAAGGGAGAAAGAAAGAGGAAGGAAAGGAAAAACAGAAGGGGAGAGGGACAGUGAGAAAGGGGGGGAGAAAAAAAAUAAGAAUCUCCUGGAUCACCUGUUGAGAGAAGAAUAGAAAACAAGCAAAAAAACAAAAAAAAACAAAGCAACAUACUAAACACAACACCAUCGCAUUAAUCUAGCUAAGUGUAAACAGCAGUAAAUACUAAAUAUUCAAUGUUGUUGUGCAGCACGCAGGACAGAUGUGCUUCGAAGUAGUAGCC
ensembl:lncRNA